UGAUCUGUGGUGUAACGGCUAGCACGCGAGAUUUUAGCUCAUGCGUUUAUAUUUCAUUAAUUAUGAAUUUCACGUAUGUGACUCUCGAAGAAGAGGUUCGAUUCCUCUCAGAUAAA
rnacentral:tRNA from 1 species